ensembl:lincRNA 1810058I24Rik RIKEN cDNA 1810058I24 gene
GAGCUGGAGCUGGAGCACCUCUCACACCCUCCUCGCCCUCCCCACCGACAUCAUGCUCCAGUUCCUGUCCUUCAAGUUCCGAAAACUUUGGGGUGUCAGUGAUAUGACUGCGUUUUCAAAAAACCACUUACUGUGAGCUCUUGGCGAAAUCUUCGCACUUGGAUUUACUUUGGGCAACGUGGUUGGAAUGUAUCUGGCUCAGAACUAUGAAAUGCCAAACCUGGCUAAAAAACUUGAAGAGAUUAAGAAGGACCUGGAAGCCAAGAAGAAGCCCCCUAGUUCCUGAUGCCUGCCUGGCACUGCAAUCUGGACCCACCAGUUCCAUCCUGGGGGGCCUGUCUCCUUCACAGCCACGUCCAAAGCUGUGUUCCUCUUUGGUCUCAGACCCUGCGCGUUGCUGAGGCUCCAGCACGGGCCAGAAGUGGAGUUAGCUUUCCGUUUCCAGCAUCUCCCCGUUCCCGUAUCUUCCGUCCACCUGCUUCUGAGACCUAAGCCUGGAACCAUGGUGCUAGGUUAGCAGCCGCAACCAUGACAGGACUCACUCGCCUGUGCUCUGGGAUUCCUACCGCCUACUGUCAAGAAAUGAAUGGAUUUGGAUAGCUGCUGGGGACUCACUGUCUAGCAGUGAUAACAGGAGCUUGCUAGACAAACUAAACUGUGUUAAAGUCAUUAAAGUCAGUAUCUUCAAGC